GUGGACACCUGGAUAAGUAAAAUGUAUUUGGGAGAGUCAGCACUACUUCUAUGAAGUGACAUUCUGUCUUACAAACCUCUUGGAGUUCUCUACAGUUGUACUACUUGGCUAAAUGUGAAACGGUUUACUUAGAUAUCCAGAAUGUUUUUGGCAAAAACUCUUGCCAAAGGCUUUAAAGGAAGCUAGGCAAUCAUUACAUAAUUUGGAAAGUUCUAGCAUGGAUAAAUAAUUGGUUAAAAGGGCAAAUCAAUCAUCAAUAAGCUAAGAACUACUGUGUGCUUAAGAAUUACCAUUGUUUUGGACAACAAAACAACAACAAAAAAUUAUCAGUGCACAAUAUUGGAAUAUUGCCGAACAAAAAGUACUGGAGAAGAUGGGCAAAGGAUAUAUGCCAAAUGUGUAAAAAAAAUCCCCUUGAAGAUAUGGAUAUGAAAAAAAAAAGAUUUACAUGUGAUAGUUGCAAGACCUCAUUCAGUGCACAGGAAGAACAAAUCUCAUGCAGUAAGCAACUUUUCCAGAAGCCUGCUUUACCUUCAUUCUUCAAUGUAUGACCCUCAGCCUUGCGGCAAUUCAAAUCUCCUGAGACACAAUUUCCUCACAAACUCUUCUGUAGUGUUCAUUAGCGUAACAUUUGAAUGUUUCUCAAAGAGUCAUUAAUUAAAGGCUAAUAAUCUGACUGUGAAGAAAGAAGUAUUCUUAACUUCAUUAUUUAGAAAGGGAAUUGAGGAAUAUCAAGAUCAGAAUUGUCCUCUGAUGUUGGGUAUAUAAUUUCAGACACACAAGACCUAAUUUAUUCAUUAUUUGUAACCCUAUAUAGAUGUUAAUAUUGUCAACAUAGUGGCUAUUUACUUCACCUGAAAAAGUAAAUCCUUCUUCACACAGCUUCAGAUUAGGCACAGAAAAUGAGACACAUGAAAGAAAACCAUGGAAAAUAUUCGCUCAGCAAUUCCCAGCAGGCAAAACUCAGACAGCAUUUAGUUUUCUAGGACAGAAUUCAACCAUCCUAGCCAUGAGAUAUUGCAACCCACUGCUUCAUUUAGUUUACAUGCUCCAGCUCUGGGUACACAUUAAGCAAAGGCCUUACAAACCACAUUGGUUUCCUCCUUCUAGCAAGUCUUCUCU